rnacentral:rRNA from 1 species
CCUACGGGGAGCUGCAGUGGGGAAUAUUGGACAAUGGGCGAAAGCCUGAUCCAGCCAUGCCGCGUGUGUGAAGAAGGCCUUCGGGUUGUAAAGCACUUUCAGUGGGGAAGAAAGCCUUGGGGCUAAUACCCUCGAGGAAGGACAUCACCCACAGAAGAAGCACCGGCUAACUCCGUGCCAGCAGCCGCGGUAAUACGGAGGGUGCGAGCGUUAAUCGGAAUUACUGGGCGUAAAGCGCGCGUAGGCGGUCUGAUAAGCCGGUUGUGAAAGCCCCGGGCUCAACCUGGGAACGGCAUCCGGAACGGUCAGGCUAGAGUGCAGGAGAGGAAGGUAGAAUUCCCGGUGUAGCGGUGAAAUGCGUAGAGAUCGGGAGGAAUACCAGUGGCGAAGGCGGCCUUCUGGACUGACACUGACGCUGAGGUGCGAAAGCGUGGGUAGCAAACAGGAUUAGAUACCCGGGUAGUC